UGGGGAAUAUUGCACAAUGGGGGAAACCCUGAUGCAGCAACGCCGCGUGAGUGAAGAAGUAUUUCGAUAUGUAAAGCUCUAUCAGCAGGGAAGAAGAUGACGGUACCUGAGUAAGAAGCCCCGGCUAACUACGUGCCAGCAGCCGCGGUAAUACGUAGGGGGCAAGCGUUAUCCGGAUUUACUGGGUGUAAAGGGAGCGUAGACGGCAUAGCAAGUCUGAAGUGAAAGCCCAAGGCUCAACCAUGGGACUGCUUUGGAAACUGUUAAGCUAGAGUGCUGGAGAGGUAAGCGGAAUUCCUAGUG
rnacentral:rRNA from 1 species